CUACGUGCCAGCAGCCGCGGUAAUACGUAGGGCGCGAGCGUUGUCCGGAAUUAUUGGGCGUAAAGAGCUUGUAGGCGGUUUGUCGCGUCUGCUGUGAAAGGCCGGAGCUUAACUCCGUGUAUUGCAGUGGGUACGGGCAGACUAGAGUGCAGUAGGGGAGACUGGAAUUCCUGGUGUAGCGGUGGAAUGCGCAGAUAUCAGGAGGAACACCGAUGGCGAAGGCAGGUCUCUGGGCUGUAACUGACGCUGAGAAGCGAAAGCAUGGGGAGCGAACAGGAUUAGAUACCCUGGUAGUCCAUGCCGUAAACGUUGGGCACUAGGUGUGGGGGACAUUCCACGUUUUCCGCGCCGUAGCUAACGCAUUAAGUGCCCCGCCUGGGGAGUACGGCCGCAAGGCUAAAACUCAAAGAAAUUGACGGGGGCCCGCACAAGCGGCGGAGCAUGCGGAUUAAUUCGACGCAACGCGAGGAACCUUACCAGAUCUUGACAUCCC
rnacentral:rRNA from 1 species